rnacentral:rRNA from 1 species
GAUUCACUAGUUAGUGCGGGAAGUUAAGUAAACCACUUCACUUAGAGGAAGGAGAAGUCGUAACAAGGUUUCCGUAGGUGAACCUGCGGAAGGAUCAUUA